rnacentral:rRNA from 1 species
AUGAACGCUGGCGGCGUGCCUCAUCCAUGCAAGUCGAGCGAACGGACGAGAAGCUUGCUUCUCUGAUGUUAGCGGCGGACGGGUGAGUAACACGUGGAUAACCUACCUAUAAGACUGGGAUAACUUCGGGAAACCGUAGCUAAUACCGGAUAAUAUUUUGAACCGCAUGGUUCAAAAGUGAAAGACGGUCUUGCUGUCACUUAUAGAUGGAUCCGCGCUGCAUUAGCUAGUUGGUAAGGUAACGGCUUACCAAGGCAACGAUGCAUAGCCGACCUGAGAGGGUGAUCGGCCACACUGGAACUGAGACACGGUCCAGACUCCUACGGGAGGCAGCAGUAGGGAAUCUUCCGCAAUGGGCGAAAGCCUGACGGAGCAACGCCGCGUGAGUGAUGAAGGUCUUCGGAUCGUAAAACUCUGUUAUUAGGGAAGAACAUAUGUGUAAGUAACUAUGCACAUCUUGACGGUACCUAAUCAGAAAGCCACGGCUAACUACGUG